GAAGUACUCCCUCCGUUCCAAAUUACUUGUCGUGGUUUUAGUUCAAAUUUGUUCAAAUUUGAACUAAAACCACGACAAGUAAUUUGGAACAAAUUUGAACUAAAACCACGACAAGUAAUUUGGAAUGGAGGGAGUACAUC
rfam:Triticum urartu cultivar G1812 contig158100, whole genome shotgun sequence.